UACGUAGGGUGCAAGCGUUAAUCGGAAUUACUGGGCGUAAAGCGUGCGCAGGCGGCUUUGCAAGACAGAUGUGAAAUCUCCGGGCUUAACUCGGAACGGUCAAGUGAUACUGUUGUGCUAGAGUGCGGAAGGGGCAACUGGAAUUCUCGGUGUAGCGGUGAAAUGCGUAGAUAUCGAGAGGAACACCUGCGGCGAAGGCGGGUUGCUGGGCCGACACUGACGCUGAUGCGCGAAAGCCAGGGGAGCGAACGGG
rnacentral:rRNA from 1 species